rnacentral:lncRNA from 1 species
CUUGUCUUACUGUCUUCAAGAUUGGAUGCCCAAGGGUUUAUGAGAUGGCAAAUCUACAUCCGCUUUGGGGGGAGGAACCUCCUCUUCAAUGACUCUGACAAGUCGUUAUUGGUGAUUUUAUGAACUCGUCUAGUAAGCGGGAAUCUGUACAGGGAACUGUUCUCAUUUUCCAUUGCUGGAAUUGGUUUUUAAAAAUGAGAGUUGCAGCCAUCUGGUACUCUGAAGUCUUACCCGGGAUAGUAAUUAUUUAAAAUAAUAAUAACAACAUGAGAACCAAUAAACUGAGCAUUUACCAUGUGCCAGAUGAGAAAACUGAAGCUCUGGAGAAGUCCAGGAACUUGACCAGGAGAUGACUAGUGGCGGAUUUGAAACCGAGCAGCCUGGCUCCAGAAUCAAAAUGCUUGGCUCUGGAACAUGAUAAUCCUCAUCAGGACCAGUCCUGAUCCAAUACGGUCCAUCUCAUUGAGCACCCAGUUAAACAAGAGAACUGUGGAAAGAGUUGUCAAUUUCAUGCCAUCAUCCAGCAUCUGGACUGCUCCCGCAGCAUGUGGAGGUUCUCAGGCUAGGGGUCUAAUCGGAGCUGUAGCCGCCAACUUACACCACAGCCACAGCAACACCAGAUCCAAGCCACGUCUGCGACCUACACCACAGCUCACAGCAACACUGGAUCCUUAAUCCACUGAUGGAGGCCAGGGAUGGAACCUGCAACCCCAUAGUUCCUAGUCAGAUUCGUUUCCACUGUGCCAUGAUGGGAACUCUGCAAACUAUUAUAUUUAGAAUGGAUGGACAAUAAGGUCCUACUGUAUAGUGCAGGGAACUAUAACUGAUCUCCUGGACAGACCAUGAUUGGAAAAAAAAGAGUGUAUAUAUAUGUACGACGGGGUCAUUUUACUGUACAGUAGAAAUUGGUACAACGCUGUAAAUCACCUAUAAUUAAAAAGUAAUAAAAUACUAAAAAAAUAGGUGAUUAAUAAGUAUCUACUGUAUAGCACACACAGGAAAAUCUACUCAAUAGUUUGUAAUAAUCUAUGUGGGAAAAAAGAAUGGAUAUAUGUAUAUGUAUAACUGAUUCACGUUGCUGUAUACCUGAAACAAAUACAACAUUGUAAGUCAACUAUACCCAAAUACAAAAUUUU